CUGAGCCCGUCGUCAGUCGCGAGUGGAGCGGCAUACCGUUAUCUGAAAGCGGCUGAAGGAAGGCCACUGAGCACAGAAAACCCCCAAGCAGGACGAGGCAGGAGCACGAGAAUUGUGGCCAGCAGCAGAUUGUGCUAAUUUCUGUGUGAAGCAUACUUUUUGGCGCGCAGCUUAUAAUCUGAAUGUCGUCUAAGUGAAUGUGAAAUGUGACAGGCCGCAGUGACAGUUGACAAAAGCCAAGCGACAAAAAGGAGGAAAACCAAACGAUGAAAGCGAGGAACCAAAAGGAGGAAAACCCACACAGUUUGAAAAAAAAAAACAGAUGGAAACAAGUUGCUGUUGAUGCUGGUCCUGGUCCUGCUUCCUGCUUCGAAUCGAGUCCUGUGCUGUGCUGUGUGGGUGCCCCCAGGAGACAUUUAACAUAAUAAAAACGAACGUGUGCGGCAUUUUUGUGCUGCUUUAACAGUAUCUCGCCAACAGUGUAUCUGCAUCUGUGUGCUAAUAACACACAGACACACACACAGAGCCAAACAAACAAUAUGUGUUCAAAUGUGUGCGUGAAGCAGUUGGGAAAAGUGUCGUAAAUCGUUUAGACAGCGAAACGUGGAACCAUCCAAAAACAAAAAACAAAAACAAAAAAAAAAGGGAAAAAAGGAAAAUGGCAGCGGAAACGAUAUGUAAACGACACAGUCGCCGUGGGAAAAACUCAACCAAAAACAAGAACCACAAAUGAAAAACAAGGAGAAAGGACAACCCCACUGCAUUUGUCGCUCAUAUUUGUGCCUUUAAAAUGUGAAACUCUGAAUGAAAUAUUCCUUGCAAAAACGAAAUUUUGAAGACAGUUUGAAGGAGGAUCUUUUCUUGUGACCUUUUGUAUGAUGCCGUGUGAAAUUUUGCAUGAAUAAUUUCCUUCCCCCUUGCAAAACGAUGAUACGACCGAUGAUGUGUGGCCUAUCAAAAAAUUGUGAUGAUAAAUAUAAAAUACUGCCAUAAAUAAACCAAUUUUAUACUAUAUAAAGAAAAAACAAAGAAAAUAAAAUAU